rnacentral:rRNA from 1 species
UACGGGGGGGGCAAGCGUUGUUCGGAAUUACUGGGCGUAAAGGGUGCGUGAGGUGGCGAGGUAAGUCGGAUGUGAAAGCUCGGAGCUCAACUCCGAAAUGGCAUUGGAAACUACCUUGCUCGAGGGUUGGAGGGGGGACUGGAAUACUUGGUGUAGCAGUGAAAUGCGUUGAUAUCGUGAGGAACACCCGUGGCGAAAGCGGCUCACUGGGUCUUUUCUGACGCUGAUGCACGAAAGCUAGGGGAGCAAACGGG